rnacentral:tRNA from 1 species
CUCUAAUUUUAUUAAAAUAAAAUUUACAAUUUUAAUUUUAUUAGAAA